AUUGAACGCUGGCGGCAGGCUUAACACAUGCAAGUCGAGCGAGCGGCGGACGGGUGAGUAAUGUCUGGGAAACUGCCUGCUGGAGGGGGAUAACUACUGGAAACGAUAGAUCAUACCGCAUACCAUCAGAUGUGCCCAGAUGGUAUUAGCUAGUGGGUGGGGUAAUGGCUCACCUAGGCGUCGAUCCCUAGCUGGUCUGAGAGGAUGACCAGCCAGCCUGGACCUGCGAGAGGGUCGAGAUUGCGCCGGAGGGCAGCAGUGGGGAAUAUUGGACAAUGGGCGCAAGCCUGAUGCAGCCAUGCGGGGUGUAUGAAGAAGGCCUUAGGGUUUGAAAGUACUUUCAGCGGGGAGGCGUUACCCGCAGAAGAAGCACCGGCUAACUCCGUGCCAGCAGCCGCGGUAAUAC
rnacentral:rRNA from 1 species